CAGGUAGGACUACCCGCUGAACUAA
rnacentral:rRNA from 2 species